AGCAAGUACGGCAGAACCCAUAUAGUUGCAAAAGGUACACAGAAUGGGUUCAUCUUCUGCGGCGGCGGUACACAAAAGGUACGCAGGCAGGGGCACAAAAGGUACGCAGGCAGGGGCGGCGGCAGAUGGCGACGGGGGUAGUGGCGGCGGCGGCGGCGGCGUCUUCUACCGGCGUGGAGGCGAGGAAAGGGAGGGGCGGCGGCGGCGGCUUCUGGCUGCGUGGAGGCGAGGAAAGGGAGGGGCGACGGCGGGAUUGCGAUGGGCGACGGCGGGAUUGAGAUGGGCGACGGAGGGAGCGGCGGCGGCGGCGGCUUCUGGCGGCGCGGAGGCGAGGUAAGGGAGGUUUGUCGGCGGAUGGCGACGGGCGACGAAGGGACUGGCGGCGGAUGGCGUCGCGGAGGGAAACGGACGGAGGAGGAUGGCAGUGAGGCACACAAUUCACGGGGGGAGGAUGGCAGUGAGGUUUUCCACAUUAUCCCCUUUUUUCC
rnacentral:lncRNA from 1 species